ACGAGGGGGGCAAGCGUUGUUCGGAAUUAUUGGGCGUAAAGGGUGCGUAGGCGGUUUGAUAAGUUCUGUGUGAAAUCUAUGGGCUCAACCCAUGGUCUGCACGGAAAACUGUCAGGCUUGAGGACGGGAGAGGUGAGUGGAAUUUCCGGUGUAGCGGUGAAAUGCGUAGAUAUCGGAAGGAACACCUGUGGCGAAAGCGGCUCACUGGACCAUUUCUGACGCUGAUGCACGAAAGCUAGGGGAGCAAACAGGAUUAGAUACCCUGGUAGUCCUAGCCCUAAACGAUGAUUGCUUGAUGUGGUGGGUACCCAAUCCCGCCGUGUCGAAGCUAACGCGAUAAGCAAUCCGCCUGGGGAGUACGGUCGCAAGGCUG
rnacentral:rRNA from 1 species